rnacentral:rRNA from 1 species
CUUCUUGCGAACAGUUAGAAGGAUUGACGGUACCGGAAUAGAAAGCCACGGCUAACUACGUGCCAGCAGCCGCGGUAAUACGUAGGUGGCAAGCGUUGUCCGGAAUUAUUGGGCGUAAAGCGCGCGCAGGCGGAUCAGUCAGUCUGUCUUAAAAGUUCGGGGCUUAACCCCGUGAUGGGAUGGAAACUGCUGAUCUAGAGUAUCGGAGAGGAAAGUGGAAUUCCUAGUGUAGCGGUGAAAUGCGUAGAUAUUAGGAAGAACACCAGUGGCGAAGGCGACUUUCUGGACGAAAACUGACGCUGAGGCGCGAAAGCCAGGGGAGCGAACGGGAUUAGAUACCCCGGUAGUCCUGGCCGUAAACGAUGGGUACUAGGUGUAGGAGGUAUCGACCCCUUCUGUGCCGGAGUUAACGCAAUAAGUACCCCGCCUGGGGAGUACGACCGCAAGGUUGAAACUCAAAGGAAUUGACGGGGGCCCGCACAAGCGGUGGAGUAUGUGGUUUAAUUCGACGCAACGCGAAGAACCUUACCAGGGCUUGACAUUGAG